GGCUCGAUAGUGAAACGGAUAUCAUGUCUCGCUUCGAACGAGACGUUUCAGGUUCAAAUCCUGAUCGAGCUA
rnacentral:tRNA from 1 species